rnacentral:lncRNA from 1 species
AAAAAAGUACUAUUUACGUUCGUUCAAACAUGUCAAACGUUGUAUAGCAUCAAUCUUUAGGGCCAUUUUAAGUUCAAACUUCAAUACAUUCCAACCGGACCCAUGCAUUGUCUUGAAAAAUGUUUUGGAACGCAGGUAUCUGCUAACGUGAACGCGCCCUGUGAACUGAAGUGUUUUUCUGGUCACCUGCUUACCAGCGUUCUCCUUCGGUCUGUGUUUACCGCAAAAGGCUCAAACAACUUUCUAAGACUGUUGACAUCUAGUGGAAUCCUUAGGAAGUGCUAUUUGAGUCCUAACUCACUGUGUGUCAGAAAGGCAAGGACUUGAGAAAACUACAGGAACCAGAAUUUCAUUUCCUGGUUGGAUUUCUCUCAGGUUUUUGCCUUCCAUAUGAGUUCUGUUAUACUCACAGACAUCAUUCAAACAGUUUUGGAAACUUUAGAGUGUUUUCUAUCCAAAUCUACUAAUCAUUUGCAAAUAUUUGACUCUGGGCCGGAGUAUUAGGCCGUUUACUCUGGGCACGCUUUUCAUCCAAAAGUGAAAAUACUGCCCCCUAGCCCUAAAAGGAUUUAUCCUAACUAGGGUUCCUAUGUAGGGUGGUUCAUCAUGUCUGUUAUCCUAACUAGGGUUCCUAUGUAGGGUGGUUCAUGUCUGUUAUCCUAACUAGGGUUCCUAUGUAGGGUGGUUCAUCAUGUCUGUUAUCCUAACUAGGGUUCCUAUGUAGGGUGGUUCAUCAUGUCUGUUAUCCUAACUAGGGUUCCUAUGUAGGGUGGUUCAUCAUGUCUGUUAUCCUAACUAGGGUUCCUAUGUAGGGUGGUUCAUCAUGUCUGUUAUCCUAACUAGGGUUCCUAUGUAGGGUGGUUCAUCAUGUCUUUUAUCCUAACUAGGGUUCCUAUGAAGGUGUGAUGCAUCAUUUGUUUUGUGAGUCUAAACUGUCUCAGAUUGCCGGCCAACACUUUCAUUUCUGUGUAUCUUUCUCUCCUUUUCAUUCUGUUGAAAGAUGUCCAGAAAGAUCAUAGUUACGCCCGACAGUCUACUACAGAUAUGUUCUAAAGUAUAUGCAAACACAUCAAUAAAUAUAUAUUUAUAUGUAGAAGAGUAGCUAGAUAUAGAUGACUGUAACAAUUUGCACAGUGUCUGAAGAGAAGUAAGGAGUGAUCCGUCUAAACAAAAUGGCUACCAAACUCCAACUCCCACAAUCCCCAGUGUCU